GAGGGUAUGGCUCAGUGGUAGGGUGCAUGCUUAGCAUGUCCUGAGUUCAAUCCCCAGUACCCCCG
rnacentral:tRNA from 1 species